UAUCGAUUGAGCAUCGUCGGUCUUCCUUAACCGGAAGCUAAGAGGGAACGCCGUGCCGCCCCGAGAGAUCGAGGGGCCAAUCGGCGGCUAUGCCCGUAGCUGUAAGCGGAGAGCGACUGCCUAAGUGUCACUGGAUCAAAGAAUCCGGGAAGACGGGCAGGAGCCGUGACCCGCAAGCCAGAAGACCUGCCGGCGAUAGCGUCGCUUU
rnacentral:ncRNA from 2 species